CCCGCUCAGAAACUCAAAGGAAUUGACGGGGCCCGCACAAGCGGUGGAGCAUGUGGUUUAAUUCGAUGGUACGCGAGGAACCUUACCAGGGCUUGACAUACGUUGGAAGCGCAUCGAAAGGUGCGUGCCGCUUGCGGCCGGCGUACAGGUGCUGCAUGGCUGUCGUCAGCUCGUGCUGUGAAGUGUUGGGUUAAGUCCCGCAACGAGCGCAACCCCUGCUGCCUGUUGCCACCACGAGAGGUGGGGACUCAGGCGGGACCGCCGGGUGACAAACCGGAGGAAGGUGGGGGACGACGUCAAGUCAUCAUGGCCCUUAUGUCCUGGGCUACACACGUGCUACAAUGGCCGGUACAGAGCGCAGCGAGGCCGCGAGGCGGAGCGAAUCGCUUAAAGCCGGUCCCAGUACGGAUUGGAGUCUGCAACCCGACUCCAUGAAGUUGGAAUCGCUAGUAAUCGCGCAUCAGCAUGGCGCGGUGAAUACGUUCCCGGGCCUU
rnacentral:rRNA from 1 species